AACACAGCCAUAAGAAAAUCAGAGAGAAGACAAGAGAACCAGAAAAACAUACAUUGCAACGGGGGCAACGAAAAAAGAGAAUCCAGAAAGUAAAAAAGAGAUAUAAACAGAUAACAGCAAGCAAAAACGGGAUAUACAUAUUCACGAGGCAUCAUACCCAGCAAAGAGGAAAUCCGAAGACAGGGAGAUAGGAGCGGAACGAAAUCGGCAUUACAGGUUCACCAUACUCCUCAUUCAGUCUUAGUAAUUUCAUUUUUUUGUAUCCUAUCCAUAUAAGCUUGUAACUAAGACAUGAACCCAUAAUUUUACUCGAAAAAAUGGCUAAUAGCUCGACUUCAAACACAAAAUACGUUCUUUUAUUCAUUUGGUUUCAGGAAGAAUAUACAUCUGUAAGCAUGACACAGAUAAUGCAAUAUAAGGGCCCUAAAGUAGCAUAGUCCCUUUUCGGGAUAAAUUUCCACCCAUGUUAGCCACAUAUAAUCAAUUAAUAAUUAAAUCGGUUGAAUUGAAAGAGGGAUAAAAUUCAAAGAUCCAGACUCUAUUGUGAGUUUAUCGGCUCUAAAUUUCAACCUUAACACCAUAACCUCACGAUCCAUGGCAAUACACAUUCAUGAAACCAACAGAGUGCAUAAUCAAAGUAUAGUACCGAAAAAUCAUAAAGCAAACAAACGCGAGUUAGGAUACCUUGCUGAAUCCCAAUGAUCCAUGGCUCUUUCUUCACCGAUACUGUGACUGUCACAUAUGAAGAUGAUAAGAACUCCUUGAUCACCGCGAGGACAAGAACCCCGAGUUAGAUAACCACCGCUAUUGAACCACCAUGAUAUCAAUCGAACCACCAUAAGCUACUUGGGAGAAGAACUAAACCACCGUAAUCCGGCAAGGAAGGAACUAGGGAUUCGAUUCCCUUUACCACCUUGUCACGAUGAGAAAGAAGAGGAAAUUGAGGCCACCGCACCUCAAUACCGCCGCUGCCAUUGAAGGUGGAGAAGAAGAGGAGAUUUGGGGAUUUAUCCCCAUUCUUCUAAACUGGGGAUUCUAUUCCCUUAUUCGCGUGAAACAAAGGGGUAACCCCUUCCUUUUUUUCUUUCUCCCUUUUAACUAAAUUGAU
rnacentral:lncRNA from 1 species